rnacentral:rRNA from 1 species
GAUGAACGCUAGCGGCAGGCCUAAUACAUGCAAGUCGAACGGUAACAUGAGAGCUUGCUCUUGAUGACGAGUGGCGCACGGGUGCGUAACGCGUAUGCAACCUACCCUUUACAGGGGGAUAGCCCGGAGAAAUUCGGAUUAAUACCCCAUAGUACUAUAAUGUAGCAUUAUAUAAUAGUUAAAGAUUUAUUGGUAAAGGAUGGGCAUGCGUGACAUUAGUUAGUUGGUAAGGUAACGGCUUACCAAGACUAUGAUGUCUAGGGGUUCUGAGAGGAAGAUCCCCCACACUGGUACUGAGACACGGACCAGACUCCUACGGGAGGCAGCAGUAGGGAAUAUUGGUCAAUGGACGAGAAGUCUGAACCAGCCAUGCCGCGUGCAGGAAGACGGCCUUCUGGGUUGUAAACUGCUUUUAUAUAGGAACAAAUAGACCAUGCGUGGUAAGUUAAGUGUACUAUAUGAAUAAGCACCGCUAACU